ACAUACCAAUCUCUUACAGAAUAAUUCUAAAUAAAACACUUAUAACAUAACAUGCUUCUAAACCAUCAUUAAUUAAGUACUAUAAAGGAAACCUCAAUAAAUUAAAGUAACAGUUACAUCAUAUACCUCGUGCACUAUGGUUUUACAAGAAAAAUAUUAACAAUACCAUCCCGAAUUCUAUGCGAGCUGCUGCAUUAUAGCUAAAGAGCUCACUACCAAUUGUAGCAAAAAUUCUAGAAAAUAAUGCUGCAGAGGCUACAUACCAACCGCGCUAGAAAAUUGCUGGUUUUCAGAAAAAUUUAUUAAUAAUCCAUGCAGUAACACUGCAAUGUUAAAUUACAGAGGAUAAGCCCUGUAAUUCAUAGCAAAUAUAAACUCAUAUCUAAAAAACAGCUAAGCUCAAAAUCAGCUAACGACACUACCUCACCGUACAACAAAAGAUAAGAUAUAAAUAUAUUUUAAAAAUGCCACACAAACCUGAAAUCUAAGUAAACCUAUUAAACUUAUUAUUUUAUGUAAAAAUAAGUAUUAGAAAUUUAAUUUAAAUAUAUUAAAUCUUAAAACAAAACAUACACAAAAAUUCUUAUAAAGGAACUCGGCAACUCCUUAUUUCGACUGUUUAACAAAAACAUUGCUUCUUGACAUAAAAAUAAGAAGUAACUCCUG
rnacentral:rRNA from 1 species